GGGAACGUGGCUCAGUGGUAGAGUGCUUGCCUUGCAUGCAUGAAGCCCUGGGUUUGAUUCCUCAGCACCA
rnacentral:tRNA from 1 species